rnacentral:rRNA from 1 species
AUUGAACGCUGGCGGCAGGCUUAACACAUGCAAGUCGAGCGGAGCGAGGGUGCUUGCACCUUAGCUUAGCGGCGGACGGGUGAGUAAUGCUUAGGAAUCUGCCUAUUAGUGGGGGACAACAUUCCGAAAGGGAUGCUAAUACCGCAUACGCCCUACGGGGGAAAGCAGGGGAUCUUCGGACCUUGCGCUAAUAGAUGAGCCUAAGUCGGAUUAGCUAGUUGGUGGGGUAAAGGCCUACCAAGGCGACGAUCUGUAGCGGGUCUGAGAGGAUGAUCCGCCACACUGGGACUGAGACACGGCCCAGACUCCUACGGGAGGCAGCAGUGGGGAAUAUUGGACAAUGGGGGGAACCCUGAUCCAGCCAUGCCGCGUGUGUGAAGAAGGCCUUUUGGUUGUAAAGCACUUUAAGCGAGGAGGAGGCGCUCUAGGAUAAUACCCUAGAUGCGUGGACGUACUCGCAGAUAGCC